ACAAAAAAAUUAGUUUUAUUUAGGAAAACGAAAAAAAAAAAGUUGGUACUGCACUUGCCUACUAGUCUGCGCUUCUUUUGCCUACACACCUUUAUUUACUUUUUUUUUUUUUUUGGUCUUUACAUAUCCCAAUUUUACAGAAAGAAAACAUUGAAGAACCCUAACUUCUUACUAACUUCCUUUCCCCUCACUCUCAUUCAAGGACCGGCGCUGCUCUCAAAUCGACGUUGGCCGCACUCCGACGACGGCCGACCGGUGUUCGCCUGCUUGCCUUUAACCUUCUCUGAGUUCUCUCUCUUCGACGAAGCAAAACUCCAAUCUUCAGUUUUGUAGCCUGAUGAACAGAGUUUUGCACAGGUGUAUUUCUGCCAACAGAUCAUCAAUGUUAAAAUGAGAUGUGAUGUAAGAGAGAUGUAGUGAAGUGGAAAGCCUGGUGUUUGAUCUAUUUGCAAAUCUUGGUGCUACAGAGGAACAGUUGGAUUUUCCUGUUCUCUAUGCUUCUGCAAAAGAAGGAUGGGCAUCAUCAGAGUACACCAAGAGCCCCGCUGAAGAAGUUAAGAAUAUGUCGGAUUUGCUUGAUACCAUAGUCAGACAUGUUACUCUACCAGCAGCGAAUCUUGAUGCUCCUUUCCAGAUGUUGUUUUGUAUUUGAAUAUGCAUUACUAGAAACUUUCUUGGAUUGUGAUUUGGGGUGGCCUGCAAAUUUAGUCUUCCUUACUGAUGAGGCGGAGAAUGAGUUGGUGCAAACCAAAGAGAAAGCUAAUAGUUGCGGACUGAAUGUGCUUAUUAUGUAAUGAGAUGUAUAUGUAUGAGAUAGUACCUUUCAUAGCGAUUGCAAGGGAAAUUUGAAAGAGGAGUAUUUGGCAAGACUUGCAGCCUACAACGAUGUAGAAUUAGAUGAGAUUUGAGAACAAUGGGCUAAGUUUUUUAGGCUUAUUUUUUUGUUGAAAGACUAGUUAUCUUAUUAAUCAAUGUUAUGAUUAGUUGUGUUUAGCUUAAUAAAACAAUAUAAUACUUUUCUAUCUAUCUACUUAUUUA